rnacentral:rRNA from 1 species
UAGUCAUAUGCUUGUCUCAAAGAUUAAGCCAUGCAUGUCUAAGUAUAAACACGUUAUACUGUGAAACUGCGAAUGGCUCAUUAAAUCAGUUAUAGUUUAUUUGAUGGUUUUUGCUACAUGGAUAACUGUGGUAAUUCUAGAGCUAAUACAUGCGUACAAGCCCCGACUUCUGGAAGGGGUGUAUUUAUUAGAUAAAAAUCAACACUGUUGGUGAAUCAUGAUAACUUCUCGGAUCGCAUGGCCUCGUGCUGGCGAUACUUCAUUCAAAUAUCUGCCCUAUCAACUUUCGAUGGUAGGAUAGUGGCCUACCAUGGUAUCAACGGGUAACGGGGAAUUAGGGUUCGACUCCGGAGAGGGAGCCUGAGAAACGGCUACCACAUCCAAGGAAGGCAGCAGGCGCGCAAAUUACCCAAUCCCGACACGGGGAGGUAGUGACAAUAAAUACUGAUACAGGGCUCUUUUGGGUCUUGUAAUUGGAAUGAGUACAAUUUAAAUCCCUUAACGAGGAACAAUU